CUGAACGUUUCCCGAGAAAUGACGAUGUGAAAGUAAUGAAGCGGCCAAACAGUUUGUGUGUCUUUAAUAGUCUAGUCCAGAGGUUUUCAAGGUCCCCAGUGGGGCUUCAGACGGUUUCAGGGGAGGCUCAGUGAAUGGAAGUGAAACAAUCUAUAGUCUAAUGUGAUUUGGUUAAAGAGAGAGUUCAGAGUAGUUUUGGGGAACAGUUCCUCCCACUUUAUCAGUCAGAAACUAAAAAAUGCCUUAGGACAGACCUUAAUUUGAAUGUAUUUGGUGCAGUCUGAAGUUACGUGAAACAGCAAUAUUAUGCUAUCUUGGCUCAAAUGGCCCCGGCUGUGAGCUUGUUCGGGGAGCUGGGGGCGUGUCUGCUGCGGGCUCUGCACUCACCUGAAACCCAUCCACAAUCAGCACACCUGCUCUGUGUCCCACAAUCAGCCACUGCCUAAAUAGGAGGCUCAGACAUCCAGUCCUUGCUGGAUCGUUGAAUCUCCACACCAGACUACCAGCCAGUAAGCUCUCGGUGCCGCCCGCAGCCAGGACGCUUCCCGCUCCCAGAUUUCUCUCCUACCCCGAACCUGGGAGGGAGCCUCUGUCCUGAACCUCCGUCUUCCCGCUUACUCUCCCAUGAAAAAACUGUCUAAACUCUGAUCUGCGUUUGAGUCCCCUCUGCCUGAAAACUCUGACAGGUCCAGCCCAAAUCUGUUGUCCUCUUUGGUCCAUUGCUCUUUUGAGGUGCUGCACCAAUGUAUUCUUGGUUGAUUUGCUCCGUUUCUCUUGUGUCAUGGUAUCUGCUUCGUAAUGUCUUCCUCUAUAACUGGCAAAACUUUGGUUAUAAUUUUACUGCACCAACUUGGAGAAAUCCCACUCUAAAAUCCACUCUAAUACAACAAACUAACACAGCUAAAUUGCUAUGCACUUUGACCUUUUUACCAAACUAAUUCUUUAAUAGGUUAGUUCAUUGUCAUGGCAUCUGCUUCCCAGUUUCGUCUACUAUUACUGGCACAAUUUGUAACAUUUUACUGUACCAACUGGGAGAAAUCCCACUUCUGUGUAGAACUCCAAAUGCUUACACUGACUUGCUAUUAAUGGUAACUUAGGUUAUAGUUAAUUAUUUAUCAGAUUCCAAAUUGAUGGUUAAGUAGGUUAUAUUUCAUGAGACUGAAUAUAACUCAAGUUAUAUUCUAUUACUAAUACUUUAUUUAAUAUAAAUACAGAUGCAAUUUAAACCCUAAUCCCAAACAUAAUUACAUAACAUAACCAAAGUGGCUAUAUAUACUGCUCAAAAUAACUAAGGGAACACUUAAAUCACACACAUCACAAUAUUUAAAAGUUCCAAAUCUUUACUGUACAUUGUGUAAUUUGUUGAGAACAAAAUGACAUCAAUGUAAACCAAAAUCACCAACUAAUUGAGGGCAGGAUUCAAAAUCACACCCAAAAGAAAAUGUAAAUCACAGGCUGCAGCAGUUAAAGUCUGACCAUGGCUCUAAGGAUUUCAUCCUGGUACCUAGCAGCAGUCAGGGUACCGUUGGCUAUCAUGUGGAGGUCUGUGCAGCCAGACCAUCACUGACCCACCACCAAAACGGUCAUGCUGGAUGAUGUUAGAGGCAGCAUAACGUUUACUACGGCGUCUCCAGAGUCUUUCACUUCCGUCCCAUGUGCUCAGUGUGAACCUGCUACCAUCUGUUAAGAGAAACUGGGCGCCAAUGGCAGACCUGCCAAUUCAGGUGUUCUCUGGUGAAUUCCAAUCAAGCUGCACGGUGCUGGGCUGUGAGCACAGAUCCCACUAGAGGGCUUUGUACGCUCAUGCCAACGUCAUGGAGUCUAUUUCUGACAGUUUGGUCACAAACAUGCAUACCAGUAGCCCGCUGGAGGUCAUUUUGUAGGGCUCUGCUAAUCCUCCUGUUCCUCCUCGCGCAAAGGAGCAGAUGCCGGUCCUGCUGCUUGGGCUGCCUUCUAUGACCCUGUCCAGCUCUCCUCAUGUAACAGCCUGUCUCCUUGUAUCUCCUCCAUGCUCUUGAGAUUGUGCUGGGAGACACAGCAAACCUUCUUGUGACGGCAUGAACAAUACCAAAACACAAAACUAGAGAAUUGUUAGUCAGGAAGGAGAGCAGUUGUCUGUGGCCACCUCCUGCAGAACAUUUCCCUUUUUGGGCGUUGUCUUGCUGUUUCCUCUCUAGUGCACCUGUUGUCACUUUUAUUUGCACUGGAACAAUUGACACUGAUUCACAAUCUCUUUUGUUCCUAACUGAAUGGAUUGAUAUCUCUUAAGUUUAAUUGAUCUGAUGUUAUACUGUGAUGACUAAUUGUUCCCUUAAUUUUUUUGAGCAAUGUAUGAAUAUGGUAAGGUAAGUACAAAUAAGGUUAAAUACAAAGAAAGGGUAGAGACUCUGCUUUUUUUUCUGGUAAUAUCCUGGGAAGGACUCAAUUUUAUGUGGGGUAGAGAGGGGGGAAAAAAAACAUUGUUGAUUAAAAGGGUAUCAUUUGCUAA